UUUUCCCUACGGGGGGCAGCAGUGGGGAAUAUUGGGCAAUGGGCGCAAGCCUGACCCAGCAACGCCGCGUGAAGGAAGAAGGCUUUCGGGUUGUAAACUUCUUUUAAGAGGGAAGAGUAGAAGACGGUACCUCUUGAAUAAGCCACGGCUAACUACGUGCCAGCAGCCGCGGUAAUACGUAGGUGGCAAGCGUUGUCCGGAUUUACUGGGUGUAAAGGAUGCGUAGGCGGGCUUUUAAGUCAGCGGUAAAAAUUCGGGGCUCAACCCCGUCCGGCCGUUGAAACUGGGGGCCUUGAGUGGGCGAG
rnacentral:rRNA from 1 species